rnacentral:rRNA from 1 species
UACGGAGGGUGCAAGCAUUGAUCGGAAUUACUGGGCGUAAAGGGCGCGUAGGCGGCCGAAAAAGUCAGAUGUGAAAUACCGGGGCUCAACCCCGGUGCAGCAUUUGAAACUUUUCGGCUAGAGUUCAUUUAGGGAAAACGGAAUUCCACGUGUAGCGGUGAAAUGCGUAGAUAUGUGGAAGAACACCGGUGGUGAAGACGGUUUUCUGGGAUGAUACUGACGCUGAGGCGCGAAAGCUAGGGGAGCAAACAGG